rnacentral:rRNA from 1 species
CAGUCGCCGCAGUAAUACGAAGGGGGCUAGCGUUGUUCGGAUUUACUGGGCGUAAAGCGCACGUAGGCGGAUCGUUAAGUCGGGGGUGAAAUCCUGGAGCUCAACUCCAGAACUGCCUUCGAUACUGGCGAUCUUGAGUCCGGAAGAGGUGAGUGGAACUCCUAGUGUAGAGGUGGAAUUCGUAGAUAUUAGGAAGAACACCAGUGGCGAAGGCGGCUCACUGGUCCGGUACUGACGCUGAGGUGCGAAAGCGUGGGGAGCAAACAGGAUUAGAUACCCCAGUAGUCCCUGUCUCUUAUAC